AAAAAAUGCAUCAUUUCUCCACAGGGCAUAGCUAUUCCUGUGGACUAAUGGAUUUAUUCAGGCAGGAAGUUAAUCUAUCAUUUAAGGAAAAUGAAUUCAUUUUAUCCACAAGAACAUGAAGUGAUGGAAAUAAUUUGCACCUGCCCAGCAUUCCUAGGCCUACAGUCUAUCAUUGGAUUUGAAAAGAAAUGUUUAUUUAAUAAAUUUUCUAGAUAAACAAAAUAAUUUGACUUUUUAAUUUAUUUACUGUUCAUGUGUUGAAAAGGCCAUUAAGAUUUGAAAAUCUUAACUUGCAUACUAUUUUGUGUGGAGGGUACUAAUGUCCAUAAAGAUCUUAUUUCCAGCAUGUGCAUUGUGUUCAUUUAUUUUUUAAUAAUAUUUAAAAAAAAAACCCAGAAGACUAGCUA